CUGCCCAGAACUGUAAGAUGACUGUGACGUCAGGACCCCGCGUGAUGACGUGACGUGGACGUCGUCGUGCCUGAUUGGACAGCGUGCAUGGCCAUGAGUGCACACAACGUCACAAAGGACGCAGCCCAUCAACAUCCUCCACGGCAAUGGGCCCCUGACUUCAGGUUGUGCUGGGUGGGAGAGCAGGAGGCGAGGCCUGGCUGCAGGUCGGACUCCACCUCCCCAGGCGGGAGGCCUCUCCCCUCUGCUCCUGCACCCGCCGGGUCCCUCCUGUGGCCCUGCCCUCCCUGAUGGGUCCCUGCUGGAGCUCUCGGUGCAGUAACUGCUUCAGUCACUCUAAAUUUGGAAAGUUAUGCUGGUGGCAUUAAUGUACAUGGUAUCUCUGCUUCAUCUAGGAGUUACAGUGAAAGAGAGACAGAAAGAUCUUCUUUCCAUUGGUUCACCCCCCAAAGGGCCACUAUAACCAGAACUAUGCUGAUCUGAAGCCAGGAGCCAGGUGCUUCCUGCUGGUCUCCUAUGCAGGGGCAGGGGCCCA